rnacentral:rRNA from 1 species
AACGAACGCUGGCGUCAGGCUUAACACAUGCAAGUCGAACGCCCCGCAAGGGGAGUGGCAGAAGGGUUAGUAACGCGUGGGAACAUACCUUUUUCUACGGAAUAGCUCUGAGAAACUGGAAUUAAUACCGUAUACGCCCUACGUGGGAAAGAUUUAUCGGGGAAGUAUUGGCCCGCGUUGGAUUUGCUAUUUGGUGGGGUAAAGGCUUACCAAGGCGACGAUCCAUAGCUGGUCUGAGAGGAUGAUCAGCCACAUUGGGACUGAGACACGGCCCACACUCCUACGGGAUGCAGCAGUGGGGAAUAUUGGACAAUGGGCGCAAGCCUGAUCCAGCCAUGCCGCGUGAGUGAUGAAGGCCUUAGGGUUGUAAAGCUCGUUCACCGAUGAAGAUAAUGACGGUAGUCGGAGAAGAAGCCCCGGCUAACUUCGUG